rnacentral:piRNA from 1 species
UGGAAGGGUAGGUACACUAGAUCCCUGC